rnacentral:rRNA from 1 species
UACAGAGGUCCCAAGCGUUGUUCGGAUUUACUGGGCGUAAAGGGCGCGUAGGCGGCCUGUGCAAGUCAGUUGUGAAAUCUCCGAGCUUAACUCGGAACGGUCAACUGAUACUGCUCGGCUAGAGUGCGGAAGGGGCAACUGGAAUUCUUGGUGUAGCGGUGAAAUGCGUAGAUAUCAAGAGGAACACCUGCGGCGAAGGCGGGUUGCUGGGCCGACACUGACGCUGAAGCGCGAAAGCUAGGGGAGCGAACGGG